UGGCUCAGGACGAACGCUGGCGGCGUGCUUAACACAUGCAAGUCGAACGAUGAACCACUUCGGUGGGGAUUAGUGGCGAACGGGUGAGUAACACGUGGGCAAUCUGCCCUGCACUCUGGGACAAGCCCUGGAAACGGGGUCUAAUACCGGAUAUUGACCUUCACGGGCAUCUGUGAGGUUCGAAAGCUCCGGCGGUGCAGGAUGAGCCCGCGGCCUAUCAGCUUGUUGGUGAGGUAAUGGCUCACCAAGGCGACGACGGGUAGCCGGCCUGAGAGGGCGACCGGCCACACUGGGACUGAGACACGGCCCAGACUCCUACGGGAGGCAGCAGUGGGGAAUAUUGCACAAUGGGCGAAAGCCUGAUGCAGCGACGCCGCGUGAGGGAUGACGGCCUUCGGGUUGUAAACCUCUUUCAGCAGGGAAGAAGCGAAAGUGACGG
rnacentral:rRNA from 1 species